GCCAUCAGCAUCUGGCACUGGUUCCUGCAUCAAAACAGUAGCCGGCCGGGCCUGGACCUACAACAUCACCUCUGCAGUCACAGUGAAGUCUGCC
rnacentral:miRNA from 1 species